AAGGUGCUGUGGCUGCUUUCUCCUGCGUUGUGGCACCAUUUUUCUAGGAUAUUUGUCUCUGGUAAGUUCAGUAAUAUGCCUAUGGAUCCAUUUUCAAAUGAGCAUUUGUUGCUGUCCUAUGGCUAUAAUUCCAAACAAUGUUAGAGAAAGAUUGUUAAGUUUUAUAUACUUUCGAUAAAAGUUGCAGUAGUAAUAAGGAUACAACUUAAAGAAAUAAGGGUGAUUUCAAGACUUUUUUCUUCACUUAUUUAAUUUAAAAUAGAUUUUCAGAAUAUAUGUGACGGAUUAUAUCUGUACCCCUAGUGUAAAUUUGAUCGACAUCAUAACGUCUCAUUUUGUAUAGGAUUUUGAGUUUCCAAAACGUCCCGCUUGGCGCGCUCUUUCUAAAUCCAAUACAAAAUAAGACUAAACGCAAACGCGUACGUCACGUUUCGAAAUCGAAUUUAUUUACACUAGGGGUACUGAAUGAUAAUUGAUAAAUGUGUCGUUCAAAUGUGUUCCAAUUUUUGAGGGUUGUUCCCGCUUGUGAGUUAAUUAAGUCGGGGGCAUUAGAAACCUAUAAUGACUACCGUAGAAGUGUAUGUACAUAGACUCUAAUAGAUAGUAAGAAUUUACGGCCAAAAACGGCGCCAAGCGCCUUUAAAACUACUUACCUACGUCAAACGUCGUGGCUAGUUGACACAAACGCUAUUACAUCAACCACCCGAACCCUGCUCUUGUAAAUAUGAUAUCAAAAAAAAAAACGUUUUUUUUCCUUCUUUUGUGUGCAAUAGCAGGAAUUGACGCUAUAAGAAGUCCAAUUUUAUCGUCGCGUCAGUAAAUAAGAUAAUUAGGUAUUAACAAGUAGCCAGUUGUCAUAUCUUCCUUUAUGACCUCAGUUCACAGAAAGCGGCGAGUAAACAAGUUGUGCAAAUAUUCUUUGAAUAUUCUUCGUUUUUGAUAUCUGUACAAAUUAAUUCGUAAAAAUAAUUAGAUAUAUCUUAUAAUUUCAUCUGCUGUACAUUUUGAAGUUUUUUUUUAAUAUAACUAAACAAAAAUGAGUUUAGAAAUACCAACUUUUACAAGAUGUUGUUGCUGCUUCCCUUUGCGUCGCGGAAUAAUCAUUCUAGGAUACUUGAGCUUGGUGUUUGCAGUUUUUGUUGUUAAGGCGGAAAUAAAGGAAAUAACACGGAUGACACAGAACCGGUCGGAUGAUACAAUGACCUUAUUCAGAGGUGCACGUUUCUCUGUUCAAAAAGGGUUCCCAAUGCUCUUGUAUUGUAUUGAAAUUGUAUUUAUAGUAUUACUGCUGGCUGGAGCUCAUACGAAACGACCAGGGCUAAUGCAGGUAUACUACUAUU